AUGUACCAUCCCACGAGAGGCGGCGGGCGAGAUCAAUUCAAAUGGGAUGAUGUGAAGGUUGACAAGCACCGGGAGAAUUACCUUGGUCAUAGUGUUAAGGCUCCUGUUGGUAGAUGGCAGAAAGGGAAGGACUUGUUGUGGUAUACAAGGGAUAAGCAAUCUGACUCAGAAGACGCUAUGAAGGAAGAAAUUAGGAGAGUGAAAGAGGAGGAGGAACAGGCUAUGCGUGAGGCACUUGGCUUAGCUCCCAAGCGUAGCAGUCGACCAAAAGGCAAUCGUUUAGAUAAGCAUGAAUAUGCUGAGCUAAUAAAGAGGGGAUCUACCGCAGAGGAUUUGGGAGCCGGCCAUGCUGAAGCAGCACAAGUGCAAGGAUUAGGUUUAUACAAGGCUCCUCACAACGAGGAAGAACCAAGCUCUCUUAGUCCUGACCCUCCUGGAACGGAGCCUGAGCAGAUUGACUUUGCACCUGCAACGAAGCAGGAAGAUUCUGAAGAUGAUAGGAAGGGGAAAAGGCGGCGCGAAGAGAGGAGAGGGGACAGAGAAAAAGAGCGGAGGCGUGAAAAGCACUAUGAGGGAAAAGAGAGGAAGCGAGACAAGUAUGAGAGUAGACACGACUCGGAGGACAGGGAGAAGCGCCACCGCAAGGAUAAGCAGAAGAGGAGGCAUGAUUCUGAUUAA
rnacentral:rRNA from 1 species